UACGUAGGGUGCGAGCGUUAAUCGGAAUUACUGGGCGUAAAGCGUGCGCAGGCGGUUUUGUAAGACAGCUGUGAAAUCCCGGGGCUCAACCUGGGAACUGCGGUUGUGACUGCAAGACUGGAGUGUGGCAGAGGGGGGUGGAAUUCCACGUGUAGCAGUGAAAUGCGUAGAGAUGCGGAGGAACACCGAUGGCGAAGGCAGCCCCCUGGGCCAAUACUGACGCUCAGGCACGAAAGCGUGGGGAGCAAACAGG
rnacentral:rRNA from 1 species